GACGAACGCUGGCGGCGUGCUUAACACAUGCAAGUCGAACGGAAAGGCCCUGCUUUUGUGGGGUGCUCGAGUGGCGAACGGGUGAGUAACACGUGAGUAACCUGCCCUUGACUUUGGGAUAACUUCAGGAAACUGGGGCUAAUACCGGAUAGGAGCUCCUGCUGCAUGGUGGGGGUUGGAAAGUUUCGGCGGUUGGGGAUGGACUCGCGGCUUAUCAGCUUGUUGGUGGGGUAGUGGCUUACCAAGGCUUUGACGGGUAGCCGGCCUGGGAGGGUGACCGGCCACAUUGGGACUGAGAUACGGCCCAGACUCCUACGGGAGGCAGCAGUGGGGAAUAUUGCACAAUGGGCGGAAGCCUGAUGCAGCAACUCCGCGUGCGGGAUGCCGGCCUUCGGGUUGUAAACCGCUUUCGCCGGUGACGAAGCGUGAGUGACGGUAAUGGGUAAAGAAGCACCGGCUAACUACGUG
rnacentral:rRNA from 1 species